CUGAGAUUGUCUCUGGAUUGUCUUUGUGUAGUGUGUUUCUGGACUCUUUGCUAAUCUUGGAUUCUGACCUUUGCUUCUUGAUCUAAAUUUUGGACUGUGCCUACACACUGUCUUCCUGACCUGCGCUCCACCUGGACUUUGAUACAUGUUUGGACUAUGCUUUGGAAUCUCCCUGUGUUAGGCUCCUGCUCUGUGUCCACAACCCAAGUUCUAUUCUUGUGGACAGAUGUUAAAAUCUCAUCAGCUUAGCGUCGCUGAGUAUUAUUUUCUUUUGAGAUGAUCAGUGUUGUAUGCCUUGUUUUGAAGGUCAAAUAAUGAAUUAAAAUCGAGAAAAUUAAAUUUAGAUAUCUAGAAUCAAUAAGAAUUCUAAGGAUCACAAUUUAUGGAUAACAUGAAGAAAAUAUACAAACCAGAUACUUAAAGGGAUGGCACAACUUGUUGAUGAAUACAAUAUUCUCCCACCAACAUUUCAAACACCGAAUACAAUGUAUGCUUCUGUAAGAACAGCAAACAAGAGAAAUUUGGUGUUUAUUAUUUCAAACUAUUUGAAAAUGUCUUCUGUUAAUGUAACAUCUGAUAUCACCAACUUUAACCUGUACGUUUGAGUAUUGCACUUUUUCUCUUUUUUCGAGGAACCCAUGGACA